rnacentral:rRNA from 1 species
GAUUGAACGCUGGCGGCAGGCCUAACACAUGCAAGUCGAACGGUAACAGGAAGCAGCUUGCUGCUUUGCUGACGAGUGGCGGACGGGUGAGUAAUGUCUGGGAAACUGCCUGAUGGAGGGGGAUAACUACUGGAAACGGUAGCUAAUACCGCAUAACGUCGCAAGACCAAAGAGGGGGACCUUAGGGCCUCUUGCCAUCGGAUGUGCCCAGAUGGGAUUAGCUAGUAGGUGGGGUAACGGCUCACCUAGGCGACGAUCCCUAGCUGGUCUGAGAGGAUGACCAGCCACACUGGAACUGAGACACGGUCCAGACUCCUACGGGAGGCAGCAGUGGGGAAUAUUGCACAAUGGGCGCAAGCCUGAUGCAGCCAUGCCGCGUGUAUGAAGAAGGCCUUCGGGUUGUAAAGUACUUUCAGCGGGGAGGAAGGGAGUAAAGUUAAUACCUUUGCUCAUUGACGUUACCCGCAGAAGAAGCACCGGCUAACUCCGUG